AUGAACGCUGGCGGCGUGCCUCAUACAUGCAAGUCGAGCGAACAGACGAGGAGCUUGCUCCUCUGAUGUUAGCGGCGGACGGGUGAGUAACACGUGGAUAACCUACCUAUAAGACUGGGAUAACUUCGGGAAACCGGAGCUAAUACCGGAUAACAUGUUGAACCGCAUGGUUCAACAGUGAAAGACGGUCUUGCUGUCACUUAUAGAUGGAUCCGCGCCGCAUUAGCUAGUUGGUAAGGUAACGGCUUACCAAGGCAACGAUGCGUAGCCGACCUGAGAGGGUGAUCGGCCACACUGGAACUGAGACACGGUCCAGACUCCUACGGGAGGCAGCAGUAGGGAAUCUUCCGCAAUGGGCGAAAGCCUGACGGAGCAACGCCGCGUGAGUGAAGAAGGUCUUCGGAUCGUAAAACUCUGUUAUUAGGGAAGAACAAAUGUGUAAGUAGCUAUGCACGUCUUGACGGUACCUAAUCAGAAAGCCACGGCUAACUACGUG
rnacentral:rRNA from 1 species